rnacentral:snRNA from 11 species
AUGUGAGAGUGAUCUGGUUGCAACAUCUUUCACUCCAUUAACUUCAAGAUUUGAUUUGGCUGAUAUGGCUGAUUAGUCAGAUGUGCCCUUCCUCUCUCACCAUU